GCUGCCCCCGGCGAAGACGGGGCGGCAUGGAGGAGAGCGCCAUCAAGCUCUUCGUCGGCCAGGUGCCCAAACUCAUGACCGAGGUCGAGCAGGCCGCCAUGUUCUGUGACGUCGCCAUCAUCAACGAGGUCACCGUCAUCCGCGACACGGCCACCAAGAUCUUGCGAGGUUCGUCCGGAUCCGUAUGCCCCAACCCGCAACGCCGGGUUUUCCUUCCCUCCACCCCAUCAUCCCGCACCUCCUGUCUCCUACACGCCGCCUCGCAUAGGACUUCUUCUCUCCAGAUCCCCACACCUCUCUCUCGAUCGCGUAUGUUACUGCCAUUGUACGGCGCUGCCCGUCGCCACCUUGUCCCGACCUGCAAUCCCCAUCCCCACAGGUCGCACGUCCCCUGUAGCUCAGCAGAAUAGCGCCUACCCUGGAUCCCGACUCCACGGCUCUGGACCUCUUCUCUUCCCGCAGCUACGCCCCCGUCUGUCUCCGCCACGCUGCCUCGCUCAAUCUCCAGCUUCAAUGUUAGACUUUUUCGUAGGUGAUCCAAGAUCUCUGAGGGGCGGUGCUCGAUCCGUAGACUGUGGGGCUUGACCCGUCUUUCCUUUGCUAGGAAGGCGAAGGAGAAGGAGGUCGGCGAAGUCACUGGCACUAGCCUGCGCGGCCGAGGAGUCUAGCACGGCAUACAACCCGACGAGGUGGCCAGGAGCAUCUACGAGAAGGCCCUCCACAAGACAUGGACAAAGGUGGUGGCGACGCGAAACAGCCAGGAGCGGAGCAACCGGCUAGAGAACCUGCGCUGGAGGUUCUGGAACGUCUCCAGGCUGGAGGUUCUGCUGUCUGCAAGCUUUUUUCAAACUUCUGCUGACCACUGCUGGUCUUGGAGUAUAAUUCUGAUGCUAUUAUGUUGAGGACUCUUUACGAGUCAACUACGGAUGGCAAGACAUUUGUUGACUGCUUCAAGGACCAGAAUAUCAUGCCCGGUAUCAAGGUUGACA